AGAUAAGUGCUGAAAGCAUCUAAGCACGAAACUUGCCCCGAGAUGAGUUCUCCCUGACUCCUUGAGAGUCCUGAAGGAACGUUGAAGACGACGACGUUGAUAGGUCGGGUGUGUAAGCGCAGCGAUGCGUUGAGCUAACCGAUACUAAUGAACCGUGAGGCUUAACCUU
rnacentral:rRNA from 1 species